GACGAACGCUGGCGGCGUGCUUAACACAUGCAAGUCGAACGGUGAAGGGGUCUGCUUUUGUGGGCCCUGGAUGAGUGGCGAACGGGUGAGUAACACGUGAGUAACCUGCCCCCUUCUUCUGGAUAACCGCAUGAAAGUGUGGCUAAUACGGGAUAUUCUGGGUCUGUCGCAUGAUGGGUCUGGGAAAGAUUGCGCCUUUGGGUGUUUUUGGUGGGGGAUGGGCUCGCGGCCUAUCAGCUUGUUGGUGGGGUGAUGGCCUACCAAGGCGGUGACGGGUAGCCGGCCUGAGAGGGUGGACGGUCACACUGGGACUGAGACACGGCCCAGACUCCUACGGGAGGCAGCAGUGGGGAAUAUUGCACAAUGGGCGCAAGCCUGAUGGAGCGACGCCGCGUGAGGGAUGGAGGCCUUCGGGUUGUAAACCUCUUUCGCCAGUGAAGCAGGCCUGCUCCUUGUGGGUGGGUUGACGGUAGCUGGAUAAGAAGCGCCGGCUAACUACGUG
rnacentral:rRNA from 1 species